rnacentral:rRNA from 1 species
AUUGAACGCUGGCGGCAUGCUUUACACAUGCAAGUCGAACGGUAACAGGUUAAGCUGUCGAGUGGCGAACGGGUGAGUAAUGCAUCGGAACGUGCCCGGUCGUGGGGGAUAACGCAGCGAAAGCUGCGCUAAUACCGCAUACGAUCUGAGGAUGAAGGCGGGGGACGGUAAGGCCUCGCGCGAUCGGAGCGGCCUAUGUCAGAUUAGGUAGUUGGUGAGGUAAAGGCUCACCAAGCUAACGAUCUGUAGCUGGUAUGAGAGGACGACCAGCCACACUGGGACUGAGACACGGCCCAGGCUCCUACGGGAGGCAGCAGUGGGGAAUUUUGGACAAUGGGCGAAAGCCUGAUCCAGCAAUGCCGCGUGCAGGAAGAAGGCCUUCGGGUUGUAAACUGCUUUUGUACGGAGCGAAAAGGUCUCCUCUAAUACAGGGGGCUCAUGACGGUACCGUAAGAAUAAGCACCGGCUAACUACGAGCCAGCCGCCGCAGUAACAC